CCUACGGGGGGCAGCAGUGGGGGAUAUUGCACAAUGGGGGGAACCCUGAUGCAGCGACACCGCGUGGGUGAAGAAGCGCCUCGGCGCGUAAAGCCCUGUCAGCAGGGAAGAAAAUGACGGUACCUGAAGAAGAAGCCCCGGCUAACUACGUGCCAGCAGCCGCGGUAAUACGUAGGGGGCAAGCGUUAUCCGGAUUUACUGGGUGUAAAGGGGGCGCAGACGGCGAUGCAAGCCAGGAGUGAAAGCCCGGGGCCCAACCCCGGGACUGCUCUUGGAACUGCGUGGCUAGAGUGCAGGAGGGGCAGGCGGAAGUCCUGGUGUAGCGGUGAAAUGCGUAGAUAUCAGGAGGAACACCGGUGGCGAAGGCGGCCUGCUGGACUGCAACUGACGUUGAGGCCCGAAAGCGUGGGGAGCAAACAGGAUUAGAUACCCCUGUAGUC
rnacentral:rRNA from 1 species